rnacentral:lncRNA from 10 species
UCCGAGGACAACAUAGUAAGGGAUGCUCAUUCAUCUCUCUGCCAGUGCUUUCUGCGGUCUCUUCAGCUAGUUCUAUCAGGCACUUCUGGCAAUCUGGAGCGGCAGCCGGCUGGGCGGCGAGGAAACCGCUGCACGGAUCCCGCCUCCCAGCACACGCAGUCGGCAGUUGCAGCCUCCAAGACCGCGGUGCCACCAAACCAAGCGCCGGACGCGGUGGCGCGCGCCUGUAAUCCCAGCUCCCCGGGAGGCUGAGGUCGGCGGAUCGUGGGUGCUCGGGGGUUCGGAGCUACGGCGCUGUGUGGAGCGGGCGUCCGCACCGGGCCUGGCACCAACAUGGUACUCCCGGGGGAGCCCGGGAGUACCAGGUUGUCUAAGGAGGGGGGGACCAGGCCCAGGCCGGACACGGAGCAGGUCAAACUCCCCGUGUUGGGCGACGGUGGGACCGCGCCUGCGAGCAACGCCUGCAGUUCCGCCCGGGACAUCCGACGAGACCCGGUCUCUUUUAACUUCCCUUUUCGGGAUUUCUUUUAAAAAAUCAACAGCAUUAUUUCUGCAUACCAAGUCCUUGAUCUCUGUGGCUGUGAGACGAUGAAUCUAGGGUGUCACCCCAGACAACGAGGCUGCUUCAAAAUCCCAAAGUCCAAAGGAGGACUGCUUCAUAAGGGAAGGAUUGUUUAUAGGUUGGUAUACUGUGCAAAAUUAAGUAUAGGACCAAAAACAGCCAAGACAUUUGAAAGUUGGAAAGUUGAUGGUAAUGGUUUCCUGGGAUUGGAAGGCAGACCUCCUCCGCUGAUGAGCAAAUAAUGAGGUAAACAUUGUUCUUUCAACAGGUUUGGUGCUGAGUGGAAGGAAAGAGUCUGAGGAUAAUGCAUAAGGUCAUGUGUUCCAUUUUUGUUGUCCAAAGAUAGAGGUUUAGACAUUCUGUAAUUUGAAGAGAGGCACGUAAGGAGGAGAGAGAUGAAAGACACAAACAUAGAGCAAAAUGGAAUGGGUAGAGGGUUCAAAAGCUCAGAUGGAAUAUUAAGUAGACUUGGAAAUGAGAGACCAUUCCUCCGAGUAGGAAGACAGGGGUUGAAUAUGCCAAGAGCUAGCAAAUUAGGAGGUUAGGAAAAAGGUGGCUGAGGGAAUAUGCUGGCUGUCUCCCUUUCACAGCGCAGCAGCCACCCCUCCCCUCCCCCACCUCUAGCAAGUAGCCACUUUUUCAACAGCUUAGGCGGCUCCUUUUUCCAGGAAACUUCCCUUCAGUUCACCGGCCGUGCCUCUCUCUAUCCUUUUCCUCGGAGCAGGCUGUGCUAUGAUCAAGGCAUUGUGACCCCUGUGACCCACACGUACACAUCCAGAAGGUCUCCUGGAGCCAGAAAGUCUGGGACAACAGGAAAACCACAAAAGAAGAAAAACAGCUCCUGUCUUAGCUGAUUAGCCAACCUUGCGACCUUCUACCAUUGUAACAUGCUCUACCCUAACUGAUCAAUCAACUUCGUGACACUGUGCUCUGUGACCCCUCCCACCUUGUGAUAAUGUACCUUGUGACAUUCUUCCCUUGCCCGCAAUAAACGGGCCCUUAUUGUAUCUUUCCACUGCUUACUCCUAACCUAUAAAACUAGCUGCAAUCCCACCACCCUCCGGUGGUGGGACUCCCUUUUCGGACUCAGCCCGCUCGGACCAGAGUGAAUAAACAGCUUGUUGCUCACACUUAGCCUGUUCAGGUUGUCUCUUCAGUUAGACGCGCGCAUAACACUAACAAUUCACUUAAUAAAUAUUUAUUGAGGGAACAGAGGUCGCAAAUAAAAUGUAAUUAGUAUUGCUCAAGAUUAAACUUCUUUCAGCACGUUUGCCUUUUCUUCUUUUAUCUAGUGAGAUGUUGAAACCCAUACCUAGAGUUCUGCUACAGAAAUAAACGUAUCCCACAGUGUUCUUGCGAUUUCCUUUAUGAAUUUGAGAAAAAUAUGACCCC